GGACGAACGCUGGCGGCGUGCCUAAUACAUGCAAGUCGAACGGUCUUUCUAUGGAAGCUUGCUUCCGCUGAGAAGAUAGUGGCGAACGGGUGAGUAACACGUGGGUAACCUGCCCAUAAGAGGGGGGAUAACAUCCGGAAACGGGUGCUAAUACCGCAUAGUUUUCUUGAUCGCAUGAUCGGGAAAGGAAAGACGGCCUUUGUGCUGUCGCUUAUGGAUGGACCCGCGGCGUAUUAGUUAGUUGGUGAGGUAACGGCUCACCAAGACGAUGAUACGUAGCCGCCCUGAGAGGGUGAUCGGCCACAUUGGGACUGAGACACGGCCCAAACUCCUACGGGAGGCAGCAGUAGGGAAUCUUCCGCAAUGGACGAAAGUCUGACGGAGCAACGCCGCGUGAGUGAAGAAAGGUUUUCGGAUCGUAAAACUCUGUUGUCAGAGAAGAACAAGUUGGAGAGUAACUGCUCCAGCCUUGACGGUAUCUGACCAGAAAGCCACGGCUAACUACGUGCCAGCCGCCGC
rnacentral:rRNA from 1 species